AGUGAUACGAAUAUUUCCAGGCUCCUACAUGAAGUAAUUACACUGCUAUGAACACAUUUUUGCACAGAAUAUAGGUAAAGCAUGAACGGGCAUUUUAACAGAAGAAUCACAGUACCGCUCACUUCUAAGGCAGUAUUUGUUUCAGGCUUUGCGACCAAUCAGCAGUUUUCACACCCAGUCCUGGAUUCGGUCUCUGCUAUUUUACACCCAGGCAAGGGCACUGAGGACAGCACUUGCAAGCCUCUCUUAGGUAGUACAGGAAGCAUAACAUUGGCAUCUGCUUCUAGGGAGGUCUCAGGAAGCUUUUACUCAUGGUGAGUAAAAUGAUCCACCCCCAUGAUCCAAAUACCUCCCACCAGACCCCACCUCCAACACUGGGGAUUAUAUCCUAACAUGAGAUUUGAGCAGGGACAAAUAUCUAAAUGAUAUCAAUGACCAUCCCCAAGACACAUAGUCAUCAGAUUCCCCAGGGUCAAAAUGAAAGAAAAAAUAUUAAAGGCAGCUAGAGAGAAGGGUCAGGUCACCUACAAAGGGAACCACAUCAGGCUAACAGCAAACCUUUCAGUAGAAACCUUAUAAGCCAGAAGAGAUUAGGAGCCUAUAUUCAGCAUUCUUAAAAAACGUAAAUUCCAGCUGAGAAUUUCAUAUCCAGCCAAACUAAGCUUCAUAAGUAAAGGACAAAUAACAUCCUUUUCAGACAAGCAAAUGCUAGGGGAAUUUGCCACCACCAGGCCUGCCUUAUAAGAGGUCCUUAAGGGAAUGCUAAAUGUGGAAAGGGAAGACUGUUACCUGCCACCAUGAAAACUGACUUAAGUACAUAGACCAUUGACAUAAAGCAACCACACAAUCAAGUCUGCAUAAUAACCAGCUAACAACAUGAUGACAGGAUCAAACCUGCACAUAUUAAUAUUUAAUCUUUAAAGUAAAUGGACUAAAUGCCCCAGUUAAAAGGCACUGAGUGGCAAGUUGAAUAAAGAAGCAAGACCCAACUAUAUGCUGUCUACAAGAGACCUAUCUCACUUGCAAUGACACCCAUAGGCUCAAAGUAAAGGGAUGGAGAAAAAUCUAGCGAGCAAAUGGAAAACAGAAAAAAAUCAGGAGUUACAAUUCUAAUUUCAGACAAAACAAACUUUCAACCAACAACAGUCAACAAAGACAAACAGAGGCAUUAGACAAUGGCAAAGGAUUCAAUUCAACAGGAAGACUAUCCUAAAUAUAUGCACCCAACAUAGGAAGACUCAGAUUGAUGAAGCAAGUUUUUACAGACCAAUGAAGAGACUUAGAUGACCACGCAAUAAUAGUGGGAGACUUCAACACCCCACUGAUGGUAUUAGACAGAUCACUGAGGGAGAAAAUUGACAAAGGCAUAUGGGACCUGAACUUGACAUUUGACCAAAUAGGCCUAAUAGAUAUCUACCGAACUCUCCACACCAAAACAGCAGAAUAUACAUUCUUCUCAUCUGCACAUAACACAUACUCUAAAAUCAGCCACACAAUUGGCCACAGAACAAUCCUCAGAAAUUUUUAAAAAACUGAAAUUAUAUCAAACACACUCUUGGACCACAGUGCAAUAAAAAUAGAAAUAGAAAUCAAUUCUAAGAACAUUACUCAAACUCAUAUAAUUACAUGGAAAUUAAACAACCUGCUCCUGAAUGACUUUUGGGUAAACAAUGAAAUUAAGGCAGAAAUCAAGAAAUUAUUUGAAACUGAUUAGAACAAAGAUACAACAUACCAGAAUAUCUGGGACACAGCUAAUGCAUUAAGGGGGAAGUCAGUAGCAUUAGACAUCUACCUCGAAAAAUUAGAAAGAUCUCAAAUUAACAACCUAACAUCACACCUAGAGAAACUAAAGAAACAAGAACAAAUCAACCCCAAAGCUAGCGGAAGACAAGGAAGAGGCAAAAUCAGAGCUGAACCGAAGGAAAUCAAGAUGCGAAAAACCACAGAAAAGAUCAAUGAAUCCAUGAACUGGUUUUUUGAAAUAAUAAAUAAGAUUAACAGACUGCUAGCUAGACUAAUAAAUAAAAGGAUAAAGAAGAUCCAAAUAAACACAAUGAGAAAUGACAAAGGGGACAUUGCCACUAAACUCACAUAAAUACAAAACCCCCUCAGAGACUACAAUGAACACCUCUAUGCACACAAGCUAGAAAAUCUAAAAGAAAUGUAUACAUUCCUGGAAACAUACAACCUUCUAAGAUUGAACCAGGAAGAAACUGAAUCCUUAAACAGACCAAUAAUGAGUUCUUACUGAAUCAAUAUUAAAAAGGCCACCAACCAGGAAAAGCCCAGGACCAGAUGGAUGCACAGCCAAAUUCUACCAGAUGUAUAAAGAAGAACUGGUACCAUUCCACUGCAACUAUUCCAAAAAAUUGAGGAGGAGGGACUCCUCCUUCACUCAUUCUACAAGCCCGGUGUCAUCCUGAUAUAAAAACCUGGCAGAGACACAACAAAAAAAGAAAACUUCUGGCCAAUAUCAUUGAUGAACAUAGAUGCAGAACUUUUCAACAAAAUCCUAUCAAACCAAAUCCAGUAGUAUAUUGAAAAGCUAAUCCAACACAAUCAAGUAGGUUUUCUCACUGGAAUGUAAGGUUGGUUCAACAUAUGCAAAUCAAUAAAGUGAUUUUAUUUUUAUUUUAUUUAUUUAAAAAAGCCAAAAACAAAACCACCUGGUCAUCUCAAUAGAAACAGAAAAGGCUUUUGAUAAAAUUCAACAUCCCUUCACGUUAAAAACCCUCUACAAACUAGGCAUUGAAAGAACAUACCUCAAAAGAAUAAGAGCCAUCUGUGACAAACCCACAGCCAAUAUCAUACUUACUGGGCAAAAGCUUGAAGUAUUUCCUUUGAGAACCAGAACAAGACAAGGAUACCCACUUUCACUAUUCCUAUUCAACAUAGUACUGGAAGUCCUAGCCAGAGGAGUCACGCAAGAGAAAGAAAUAAAAGGCAUGCAAACGGGAAGAGAGUAAGUCAAACUCUCUCUGUUUGUAGAAAAUAUGAUUAUGUACCUAGAAAAUCCAUAGUCUCUGCCCAAAAGUUCCUAGAUCUGCUACACAAUUUCAGCAAAGUUUCAGGAUAUAAAAUCAAUGUACAAAAAUCAGUAGCAUUUCUAUUCACAAACAAUGUCCGAGCUGAGAGCCAAAUCAAGAACAUGAUCUGGCCAGGCGUGGUGGCUCAUGCCUGUAAUCCCAUCACUCUGGAAGGACAAGGUAGGAGGAUUGCUUGAGCACAGGAAUUCAAGACCAGCCUGGGCAACAGAGGGAGACCCUAUCUCUACAAAAUUAAAAAUUAGCUGAGUGUGGUGGCUUGUGUCUGUAGUCCUAGCUACGUGAGAGGCUGAAAUGGGAGAAUUGCUUGAGCCCAGGAGGUUGAGGCUGCAGUAAACCAUGAUCACACCACUGCACUGCAGCCUGGGUGACAGAGUGAAACCAUGUCUCAAAAAAGAAAAAAAAAAAAAA
rnacentral:lncRNA from 1 species